AGGGGGCCAGGCAACCAGCUUAGGGGAGAGGACGGCCACACUCCCUGUUCUCCAGCCCAGCCCUGCUUCCUCCCAACCCCCAGAACUGAACUUUGGUGCCAUCACUCUUAACAGCAUGGAUGCCACCAGUGAGCGUGACUUCAUGGCUGAGUUCCUGUUCUAGGCUUCAUUCUGCAUGACCCAUCUCAGCAGGAUGGCCAGGGACCUCAUCCUCUAUGGCACCAAGGAAUUCAGCUUCAUGUAGCUCUCAGAUGCCUACAGCACCAGAAGCAGCCUGAUGCCCCAGAAGAAAAACCCUGACAGCUUGGAGCUGAUCUGGAGCAAAGCAGGGUGUGUGAUUGGGCAGCUCAGCAGUCUCUGCGAGAGUCGGCUCCCUGCAAUUUGUGUUCCAGGAUCCAUGGAGCACGUAACACAUCCUGAUGCUGUUCUCAGCCUUCUGUGGCCUCUUGGUCACCGUUUCCUACCAUCUGAGCUGGCAGAGCAGUGACCCAUCUGUGUUCAUGUUCUUCAUUCAAUGCAGACUGUUUCCUAAGUUUUUACAUCAAAAUCUGGAAGAGUCAGCUGCUGAUCCUCUCCCCAAGAAGAUGAAAGAUUCUGUGCAUCACUGCAGGAUGAGUAUUUUGUGUCAAGUGGAUUCAAGGAACAGUGCGAAGGAUCCAUGGCCUCAGUCGUGAAGACCCUCCCAAGAGCCAACUGUCCUGGGCACAUAUAAAUGAGUGGAGACAUGGAACUCACCCUUACAAGGCCUAGAACCUGACAGAGCAUACAAGACUGAAGCCCAAAUAACCAAGAACAGGAAGCUGAAGUCCCCUUAUAGGUCACUAUGGGGAACUUCCUAGGCCCCAGGGCUGGCCUCAUUUGUGCCUGGUGCCGGGAGGCAGUGGCGUCAUGUUGUGGGACUCAGUCUGUGGCAGCUACACCACCAGAAUCCACGACUUCAGAGCCUGACUUUGUAUAUGCCGGAGUGGUGGAGGUCCAGCAUGUGCAGCCCAAGUCAAAGCGGCGCAAAGGUUUGGCUGGCCGCGUGAGGAGCUGGGUACAAAAACGGAGGCGUAAAAAAAUU